UUUUUAUAUAAAAGUUAUUUUAUAAUUGUUAUAAUUAUAUAAGAAAUUAUAUGUGUUUGUAUAGUAAUUUUUUUAUUUUAUUUUGAGGAAAUUAGAGUGUUUUAAGCAUGAUUUUUCAAUUGAAUAAUGGAGUAUGGAAUAUUAAAAAUGUAAUAAAAUUUAUUUAUAUGUUGGUUUUAAAGUGUUAAUUAAUAAUUUCUAAGAAUAGUUGGGGGUAUUUGUAUUUAACAGCAAGAGGUGAAAUUCUUAGAUUUGUUGAAGAUAAAUUAUUGUGAAAGCAUUUAUUAAAAAUAUUUUUUUUAAUUAAGAACAAAAGUUAGGGGAUCGAAGACGAUCAGAUACCGUCGUAGUCUUAAUUAUAAACUAUGCUGAUUAGAGAUUAGAUGUUUUUAAAUAAAUGAUUUGUUUAGUAUUUUUAGAGAAAUCGAAGUUUUUAAGUUUUGGGGGGAGUAUGGUUGCAAGAUUGAAACUUAAAGGAAUUGACGGAAAGGCACCACCAGAAGUGGAGUUUGCGGUUUAAUUUGACUCAACACAAGAAAUUUUAUUAGGUCUAGACAUAUGAAGGAUUGACAGAUUAAUAGUUUUUUUUUGAUUUUAUGGGUGGUA
rnacentral:rRNA from 1 species